rnacentral:rRNA from 1 species
GAUGAACGCUGGCGGUAUGCUUAACACAUGCAAGUCGAACGGACUCUUCGGAGUUAGUGGCGGACGGGUGAGUAACGCGUGAGAAUCUGGCUUUGGGUUCGGGACAACCACUGGAAACGGUGGCUAAUACCGGAUGUGCCGAGAGGUAAAAGAGAAAUUGCCUGAAGAUGAGCUCGCGUCUGAUUAGCUAGUUGGUGAGGUAAAGGCUCACCAAGGCAGCGAUCAGUAGCUGGUCUGAGAGGAUGACCAGCCACACUGGGACUGAGACACGGCCCAGACUCCUACGGGAGGCAGCAGUGGGGCAUUAUCCGCAAUGGGCGAAAGCCUGACGGAGCAAUACCGCGUGAGAGAAGAAGGCUCUUGGGUUGUAAACCUCUUUUCUUAGGGAAGAACAAAAUGACGGUACCUAAGGAAUCAGCAUCGGCUAACUCCGUG